rnacentral:rRNA from 1 species
UUGAAACUGGUUCUCUUGAGUGUAGAUGAGGUGGGUGGAAUUUCGUGUGUAGCGGUGAAAUGCUUAGAUAUCACGAAGAACUCCAAUUGCGUAGGCAGCUCACUGGGCUACAACUGACGCUGAGGCACGAAGGUGCGGGGAUCAAACAGGAUUAGAUACCCUGGGUAGUCCGCACAGUAAACGAUGAAUACUAGCUGUUGGCGAUACACUGCCAGUGGCACAGCGAAAGCGUUAAGUAUUCCACCUGGGGAGUACGUUCGCAAGAAUGAAACUCAAAGGAAUUGACGGGGGCCCGCACAAGCGGAGGAACAUGUGGUUUAAUUCGAUGAUACGCGAGGAACCUUACCCGGGCUUGAAUUGCAUCUGAAUACAGCGGAAACGUUGUAGCUAGCAAUAGCAGAUGUGAAGGUGCUGCAUGGUUGUCGUCAGCUCGUGCCGUGAGGUGUCGGCUUAAGUGCCAUAACGAGCGCAA